rnacentral:rRNA from 1 species
UACGUAGGGUGCAAGCGUUAAUCGGAAUUACUGGCGUAAAGGCGUGCGCAGGCGGUGAUGUAAGACAGAUGUGAAAUCCCCGGGCUCAACCUGGGAACUGCAUUUGUGACUGCAUCGCUGGAGUACGGCAGAGGGGAUGGAAUUCCGCGUGUAGCAGUGAAAUGCGUAGAUAUGCGGAGGAACACCGAUGGCGAAGGCAAUCCCCUGGGCCUGUACUGACGCUCAUGCACGAAGCGU